rnacentral:lncRNA from 1 species
AGGCUCCUCCCUCCUUGGGAUUCUCCAGGCAAGAGUACUGGAGUGGGUUGCCACUUCCUUCUCCAGCUCUGAUCACCUCUGGUUUGAGAAGGACAGCAUUGCAGUGCCAGGAACAGCCUAGACAGGAAGGCAUGUGGGAUCUUAGCACCCAACCAGGAAUUGAACAUGCACCACCUGCAUUGGAAGGUGAAGUCCUAACCACAGGAUGGCCACGGAAACAUGCAAAAUUGGAGAAUUUGCAAAAAAUACAAUGGAAUAGACAGGACAAAAAGACUGACCAGAAAUUUGGUCUUAGAUCAAACGUCUGAAUCAAAGAGAAAGAGGUAAUGAAAAGAACACUUUUAUAAGAACCCCUCUGCUGUUUUGCACAACAUGAAUAUAUUCUUUUAAAAAAGUGAAGUUUAAUAAAAUAUUUUACUCAUCUUC